rnacentral:rRNA from 1 species
GGCCAGACUCCUACGGGAGGCAGCAGUGAGGAAUAUUGGUCAAUGGCCGAGAGGCUGAACCAGCCAAGUCGCGUGAGGGAUGACGGCCCUACGGGUUGUAAACCUCUUUUGUCGGGGAGCAAAGAGAGUCACGUGUGGCUCAUUGAGAGUACCCGAAGAAAAAGCAUCGGCUAACUCCGUGCCAGCAGCCGCGGUAAUACGGAGGAUGCGAGCGUUAUCCGGAUUUAUUGGGUUUAAAGGGUGCGCAGGCGGAGGUGCAAGUCAGUGGUCAAAUUGCGGGGCUCAACCCCGGCGAGCCGUUGAAACUGGCUGUCUUGAGAUGUCAAGAGGUAUGCGGAAUGCGCAGUGUAGCGGUGAAAUGCUUAGAUAUUGCGCAGAACUCCGAUUGCGAAGGCAGCAUACCGGCGGCGAUCUGACGCUGAGGCACGAAAGCGUGGGUAUCGAACAGGAUUAGAUACCCCCGUAG